UCCAACUUUUUUUAAGUUUGGUUUAGGCUUGGAUAUGGGAGUUGCUGGCUUCAUUAUGAUGGUCAGCUCUUCUCAAAUGCAUUAGUGGAACUUUUGUGGACCGUCUAUUGGUGUGAUAAUUAUCUACGCCGUGGAUGUGAAGCAGCUUCAUUAUAAAGUUCAGCUUCUAAUUGUCCAUUGACUUGGACAAUUCUGACAAUUUGACCUCAAAUCAGGUAGGACUACCCGCUGAACUUAAGCAUAUCAAUAAGCGGAGGAAAAGAAACUAACAAGGAUUCCCCUAGUAACUGCGAGUGAAGCGGGAAAAGCUCAAAUUUAAAAUCUGGCAGUCUUUGGCUGUCCGAGUUGUAAUCUAGAGAAGCAUUAUCUGCGCUGGACCGUGUACAAGUCUCCUGGAAUGGAGCGUCAUAGAGGGUGAGAAUCCCGUCUUUGACACGGACUGCCAGAGCUUUGUGAUAUGCUCUCAAAGAGUCGAGUUGUUUGGGAAUGCAGCUCAAAAUGGGUGGUAAAUUCCAUCUAAAGCUAAAUAUUGGCGAGAGACCGAUAGCGAACAAGUACCGUGAGGGAAAGAUGAAAAGAACUUUGGAAAGAGAGUUAAACAGUACGUGAAAUUGCUGAAAGGGAAACGCUUGAAGUCAGUCACGUUGGCCAGUAAUCAACCUUGCUUUUCUUUGCUUGGUGCACUUUCUGGUCAAUGGGUCAGCAUCAAUUUUGACUGAUGGAAAAAGUUCAAGGGAAUGUGGCAUCUUUGGAUGUGUUAUAGCCUUUGUUCACAUACAUCAGUUGGGAUUGAGGAACUCAGCACGCCAAAUGGCCGGGUUUUAACCACGUACGUGCUUAGGAUG
rnacentral:rRNA from 1 species